AAGCAUAUCAAUAAGCGGAACGUGAAACUAACAAGGAUUCCCCUAGUAACGGCGAGUGAAGUGGGAAAAGCUCAACUUUGAAAUCUGGCACCUUCGGUGUCCGAAUUGUAGUCUCAAGAAGUGUUUUCUGUGCUAGUCCAUGUAUGAGUCUGUUGGAACACAGCGUCAUAGAGGGUGACAACCCCGUUCAUGACAUGGAUACUAGUGCUCUGUGAUACACUCUCGAAGAGUCGAGUUGACGUAAUGCAGCUCAAAUUGGGUGGUAAAUUCCAUCUAAAGCUAAAUAUUGGCGAGAGACCGAUAGCAAACAAGUACCGUGAGGGAAAGAUGAAAAGCACUUUGGAAAGAGAGUUAACAGUACGUGAAAUUGUUGAAAGGGAAACGAUUGAAGUCAGACGUGCGUGAUGCGGUUCAGCUCUGGUUCGCCAGGGUGUAUUCCGUAUCUUUGCAGGCCAACAUCGGGUUAGUCGGAUAAAGAUUAGUUGAAUGUGGCAUCUUCGGGUGUGUUAUAGCUUCUAAUUGAAUACGAUUGAUGAGACCGAGGAACGCAGCGCGCCGCAAGGCAAAGGUUCCGACCCGCGCUUAGGAUGUUGGUGAAAUGGCUUUAAACGACCCGU
rnacentral:rRNA from 1 species